rnacentral:rRNA from 1 species
AUGGGCAGAAUCAUGAAGGGUCUUGGUAAGGGCUUUUCUUCUGCUUGCUUAGAAGAGUCUGAUGAUUUUGAUGGGGAUCCUUUUGUCCCCAAUGAUUUCGCCGAGGACGAUUCUUUCCAAGCUUCAGAGGAAGGUUCAAUGGAUGAUCCUGAUUUUGACAAAGCUUUGUAUGAUUUCUAUGUGUCGCAUAAGCGCACGAGGUCUUCUGAUUUUCCCGUAGCAAAUACAUUCACUAGAUACUCUAGCAAGUUGUUCUCCACUAUUAUUGGCGGCUUGUCUCCUCAGCAAGUACGUGUUCUUCAGAGUUAUGGGGCAGAUUGCCUUCUCAAAUUUGUGAGGACAGAGGUGCCAUUUAGGUUUGUCAAAUGGCUAGCAUCCAAAUUUGAUGUUCGUGCUUCAGUGAUUCAGAUUAGGAAAAUGUUUAUUCCGAUUUGCGAAUAUGUCACCCAUGAUAUAUUAGGUCUUCCUGUUGACGGUGAGCCUAUUGUGUCCAAUGCUGAUGCUGGUUGUGAGUUUAUCUUGUCUCAUUUCAAUGUGACUAGCAUCCCACCAGUUUCAUUCUUCUGCAAUAAACUAAAAUCCACCUCUGAAGAAUUGCCCGAUGAAGACAUUUUCAUCUGCUUCAUGUGCAUUGCCUUGUCCACCUUCUUGUGUCCAAAUCCAAUAUUAGAACUCUGUAAUUCUGGAGUUUUUACUGUAAUCCAUGAUGGUUUUCAGUGUAACUAUUAG